UCAAGCUUUUGUUCAUCUGUUUCCAACCGCACGCCGGAGAACAGGAGCCAUUGAGACUCACCACAGUUACAGCACGGUCUACAGCAGCAGCAGUCACGCGUGUGUUCGUAUUACCUUUUGCAGGAAGUGGAUACUGAAAUAGUUUCACUGUCGGACGUUUGGUGUAUAAAUCUUCAUUAACUUACAAACUCAACAUGGAGAACGAGAACAAAUACCUCCCGCAGCUGCUGGCGGAACGAGACAGUCUGGACGCGUCGUUCACGCACGCCAUGAAACUUAUAUCAGCAGAAAUCGAAAGGGUUCAGAAAGGGGAGACCGAGAAAGAUACAGAAAGCUACCUGGACCUCUUUACAACGAAAAACAUCAAACUGAAGGAGAGGGUUCUCAUACCUGUCAAGCAGUACCCUAAAUUUAACUUUGUUGGGAAGAUCCUUGGACCACAGGGGAACACCAUCAAGAGACUGCAGGAAGAGACGGGCGCUAAGAUCUCUGUGCUGGGGAAAGGAUCCAUGAGGGACAAAACCAAGGAGGAUGGCUUGAGGAAAAGUGGAGAGCCGAAGUAUGCACACUUGUCAAUGGAACUUCAUGUGUUCAUCGAGGUCUUUGCUCCUGUUCCUGAGGCAUAUGUGCGCAUGGCUCAUGCCAUGGAGGAGAUCAAAAAGUUCUUGUUCCCUGACAUGAUGGAUGACAUUUGCCAGGAGCAGUUCAUGGAGAUGAAGUAUCUAAAUGGGGGUCAGGAACAUGGGGCCAGAGGCCGAGGAGGGCCACCCAUCAGAGGCCGUGGAGGUCUUCCUCCUCCUGGGGCACCCAGGGGUCGUGGUAUGCCCCCACGUGGAGGUGGCCGUGGCGGACCCCCUCGAGGUGGAGCCGCAAGGGGUGCUCCUGCAGGUAGAGGUGGACCAUCAGCCCAGCCGCCCAGAGGAGCAGCUUCCAACCGUGGCCGUCCACCCGCCUCUGCGUCUCAGCGGAUGCCCCCUCCACCACCCCCGCACCCUCCGGCCCAAGAGUCAUACGAAGACUAUUCUUAUGAUGAGAGCUACACAGAGCCAGGCUAUGAAUCCUAUGAGAGCUACUACAGUCAGCCACAAGCAGAACCAGAAUACUAUGAUUAUGGACAUGGAGAGACACAGGAGGGGUAUGAGAACUACGCUCAAGAUGACUGGAAUGGGACACAGCGCGCUGCUGCUGGUGGAAAAGCUCCCACUCAGAGACAGACUAAGCCUGGGUUCAGGGAACACCCCUAUGGACGAUACUAAGUCUGACUAGCGGAACGUCACCCAACGCGUCGCCAUGACAACUGUCUCCCAUGGCAGCUCACACUUUAAGCUACCCGACAAAAGUUGUGAUGCCUGGAAAUUCCUGGAAAUGGAAAGUUGAAACAAGAAUGUCAGACCUCUCCUCAGGCAAAGACAAGUGUUUGUUUGCAGUAUAAGAGCAAUCUUACCUUUGAACACCAGCAGUCUUAAUGGAGCCAUGGACAGUCUGACUGGAUAACUUCUGAACGGGUUGGAAUGGCAGAAAUCGUUGGUCCUGUCUGCUAAAGUUUAAACCAGCAACCUCUUAAUGGGUUGAAGUGGAAGAGUCUUGAGUUCUAGUGCUGUGUAUAUCUGCGCUCCAGUGGUUAUGCAAAGUCUUUUCUCUGUACUGCAAAGUUUCUCUUUACUGUUCACCUCAAGUGCUUUCUAAGCACACUUAACUUUAAAUGUUCAUCUUUAAAUUGACCUCUUCUGCUUAUGUUGGCUAAGAAAUCAUUUUAACAAGCUCGAAAAAUUCUGUCCGGGCUCUCUAGACGUCUACCUCACACAAUACUCCAGUGCUUUAUUCUGCAAGACGAGCAUGUCUUCCCCAGUUCCUCGCUCGGAGGAACGUACAUGCUAAUUUAGAGCUGUCCGGCCCCUGUCUCUUAGCACAGACUUUGUCCUUUAAUUACCAUGGUAAUUUUUGUCUUGCUCUUGAGUAGAUAUGUUUGAAUGGGUUUAAGCUGUCGGAACCGCCUUGCAGUUUGUGUGAAUCACAAUUGAAUUUUCAAUCUGUUUGCAACUGUUGAUCUAAAUCAUGCUAACAUUGUUACUUUUUGGAUAAUGGUCUUUAAUGCCCUAAUAAGGGCUUUUCACACUUGAAAUGGUUAACCCUGGGUCACUCUAAACCCCUGAUAAAUGAAAUCCUGGGUUAUCUUUAUUCACGUUUCACACUGCUCAUACCAUACCCGGGCUUAACAGUUAAUCCUGGGAAUUCAUAAGCUACCUCUUCACACUGCGCAUUCCUAAACCCCUGGGAUUAAGUCCUUAUCUGCAUAUUUACGUUGUCAGUGUCACUGACUGGACAAACGCAGCACGUGACCUGUUUACAUAAAGGCUCUGGCUUUGCGUGUCCUCAUUUUACAAUUUGCUGACUGUAAUAUCAAGUUUUUUUUCUCUGUGUGAACUUUUCUAACUACGGUCUCUUCACUCCAAUUGUCGCUUUUCCCGUCGCAUUUUCCAUCGGCAUUUGACAUUUUACCUGUCUGUUUAUACAUGGCGCAGUGUUUCCGUGAAUGCCCGAAGCGAGAGAAUAUAAGGCAUGUCGGAUGUUAAGCAUCUAGUUGUAACAUUCUAACACCGCAUCAUUUUACACUGUACAAAUCUGGCACCGCAAUGCGCAGUUAACGCCGCAAAAGCGCUGCUAACCCUGCUCCAGAGCAGGGUUUCAUAACCCCGGGUAAAAAGCGGUGCUAACCCCACAAUUAAAUAAGUGUGGAACGCUCCUUUACCUGGGGUUAAAAGUGGUGUUUAGAUUGACGAUAACCCGGGGUUAAGCGCAGUGUGACAAGCCCUAUAGAGAGCUUUCCAUAAAUUCUGCUUUUUCUAAUCCUCGCUGUGCAGAGUCUGAAUUUGGCACUGCAUGGAUUUUGUGCAUGUGUAUGUUUUGCUGUCAGUGUGUGUUGCCGUAGCUUCCGUCUUUUGCUCAUAUAUUUUUUUUUUUUUUUUUUUUUUUUUCCCCGCUCAGCACACGUACGAUUUGAGCCCGUCAUUCUGACCAAUUACCGCCGAUGACAGUGUGUCCGUCCCCCGUGGAGCCGCCACUGGUUGCCGACUGGCUAACAGGACUAAUGCCUUAUUGCAUUAGAGACAAAUCUGUCUUCAGCACAGAUUUUAAUAAGCAUCAGCCACCGCUCAAGUGCUGUCGAACAGUGGGUAGAAGGCUGACCAAUGUGUAUGCGGGCUUCACUGUAAUGAGAAAUCGCAUAAUGGAAAUAUUUAUUUUCCAACAGAUGCUAGGGGGUAAAGAAAACUCGAAGUCUCAAGGAGGAGGAAAUGUUCAAGCCCACUGUGUGCACUAAAUGGGUCUUUGUUUACACAGUCAUAUUUGUUAGAGUCGGACAUACAUGGUCUACAGCUGCUGGGGAAAUGCCUCUGGGGUAAUGUGCAAGGCAUGUGUGGUGGUCUGAAACCGGGGGAUUGUGGUUUGGCAGCUCUUUUCUCCUAACGCAUUGUGCAUGCUGAAAACAGGAAGCAUGGCUUUACGAAUGCAAAUGAAACACUCACACCAAUGUCUGUCUGUCUUCCUGCAUGACUAUUUUGCUAGUUUCACACCUAACCAGUAUACACUCUCAAGGGAGUCAGGGUUUUGAGUGCACGGGGAUGAGUUGUGAUGGUUUCUGGCUCAAGUCCUGGAGAACCGUGGCUGCUGGCCACCUCCUUCAGUGUGAAAUGCUGGUAAUAACUUAGCCUCCUAAAGGUCUCUCUCAGUGUGCUGUGAUGAGAAUGAAUUGAAUCCAUCCAUGUGGAAUCUGGCUUGAGUAAUCCGUAGCCCUCCAGGACAAAGAGUUGGAUACCUUCACCUUGGCUGUCGCUGAAGUAACAUUCCAUUGCAUGUUUUCCAACAUCCACAUAAGCAGACACGCCUAAAACAAUGUCGGGAAACCAUGGGAAUUACUUGGGAUUAGUGUUGAAAUACAAGUGCCAGUAGUCUGUGUUCUUUUGUUUUCUUAAGGAGAUUGAUGAGCCUGUAUUUCAAUGCAGCUAAACUGGAUUUGAGCUUAUUGAAGUGCUCGUCUUUCAGCAUAGCUGUUGCCCUUAUCUCAGUAGAAGCGAACUAAAGCCUUUGGGGCCGGAGAAACCUUACGGUGACUUAGGGGAGCGGACAGAAUUUUUCUUCACCUUUGAAAGUUAUUCAAACUUGUUUGGAAGUUGGUGCAUCCAAGAUCACUCGUACGCAGCCUGCAAAUUACGUAUGACUACAAAGAGAAUACCUAAUAACUUGGCAUAUUUUUUUACCUAUUUUGUAAUGUCAAAUAAAGAAACUGAAUUCUA